rnacentral:tRNA from 1 species
GCUUUGGUGAUGUAAUUGGAAGCAUACUCGACUUGUAUUCGAGAUGCCCAGGGUUCACGUUCCGGCGAAGACA